rnacentral:misc_RNA from 1 species
AUUAACCAAAACAAUUUUGCAUCUGCCAAGAACGCAAACAUUUCUUUCAUCAUAUGCUUUCUGUAGUAGCUAAGAGCUUUUCUGUUUCAAAACUUCUGCUUCAGCCCUUGCCAUUGGGUCAUCCUUGAUUUCCAUUUCAUCUUCCUUUUCUCCUUCUCGCUCCUGUGCCAUUUUCUUUCUAUGCAACUCAUCGGCAGCUUGCAUUGCAGCUCUGUUCUCUGCCUGAAUUCGAUCCAUUUCCUCUUGUUGUUGUUGCCGUUCAAACCAUGUGUCAGCAUCCGCCCAAAUAGGCUGGGCGGCCCAACCCUGUUCACCACCCUUAAUGCGUUCGGGAAGGGCAUAAUUAACGGUGAGGACUUUACCAUAGAGCUCAG